AAAGCGGGGCUUCUCAGUCAGGCGGUGGGUGCCUGGUUCGGGAGUCAGAAAAUCAGCUUUCCAGUCAGCCUAAGUAGGUCGGUCGUCCAAAAGGGAGAGCUUCCCUCAGCAAGUCGGGAAAGCCCUCUGGGCCGCUGGGACUCCGCCAAGGAAACGCGCAGUCGCAAGAAAGUGUGCUGAGGCCGGUCCAGCCCGGAGCCCUUGGAACAAGAGCCGAAGUUACUCAUCUUCUCAUCUUCUGAACCACACGGCUCUGAUGUGAGAGCCAGCUGCGGCAAAGGCCCUAGCCCCUCCUCUUCCUGAGGACCACUGCUGCUGCAGAUGGCAGAACCCCUGCCAC